rnacentral:rRNA from 1 species
GAUGAACGCUGGCGGCGUGCCUAAUACAUGCAAGUCGAGCGAACAGACGAGGAGUUUGCUCCGCUGACGCUAGGGGCGGGCGGGUGAGUCACACGUGGAUAACUUGCCUAGGAGAAUGGGAUCAGUUAGGGAAAGCGGAUAUCACAUAGGAUAAGAGAGUGAACGGCAGGGUUCAUUGGAGAAAGACGGAUCUGAUGUGACUAGGUGAGGUUUGCGCGCCGGAUUAGCUAGGUCGUAGGGUAAAGGCUUACCAAGGCAACGAUGCGUAGCCGACCUGAGAGGGUGAUCGGCCACACUGGAACUGAGACACGGUCCAGACUCCUACGGGAGGCAGCAGUAGGGAAUCUUGCGCAAUGGGCGAAAGCCUGACGGAGCAACGCCGCGUGAGUGAUGAAGGUCUUCGGAUCGUAAAGCUCUUUUAUUAGGGAAGAACAAAUGUGAAAGUAAACAUGCCCGUCUUGACGGUACCUAAUCAAAAAGCAACGGCUAACUACGUG